GACGAACCGUGCAAACGUUGUUCGGAAUCACUGGGCUUAAAGGGCGCGUAGGCGGCUUAUCAAGUCGGGGGUGAAAUACUUCAGCUUAACUGGAGAAGUGCCUUCGAUACUGGUGGGCUUGAGGGAGGUAGGGGUCUGUGGAACUUCUGGUGGAGCGGUGAAAUGCGUUGAUAUCAGAAGGAACGCCGGUGGCGAAAGCGACGGACUGGACCUCUUCUGACGCUGAGGCGCGAAAGCUAGGGGGAGCAAACGGG
rnacentral:rRNA from 1 species